rnacentral:rRNA from 1 species
AUUGAACGCUGGCGGCAUGCUUUACACAUGCAAGUCGAACGGUAACAGGCCGCAAGGUGCUGACGAGUGGCGAACGGGUGAGUAAUGCAUCGGAACGUGCCCAGUCGUGGGGGAUAACUACUCGAAAGAGUAGCUAAUACCGCAUACGAACUAUGGAUGAAAGCGGGGGACCGUAAGGCCUCGCGCGAUUGGAGCGACCGAUGUCAGAUUAGGUAGUUGGUGGGGUAAAGGCUCACCAAGCCAACGAUCUGUAGCUGGUCUGAGAGGACGACCAGCCACACUGGGACUGAGACACGGCCCAGACUCCUACGGGAGGCAGCAGUGGGGAAUUUUGGACAAUGGGCGCAAGCCUGAUCCAGCAAUGCCGCGUGCAGGAAGAAGGCCUUCGGGUUGUAAACUGCUUUUGUACGGAACGAAACGGCUCUGGUUAAUACCCGGGGCUAAUGACGGUACCGUAAGAAUAAGCACCGGCUAACUACGUG